rnacentral:lncRNA from 1 species
UAAUUGAUGUCUUCGAAAACAAAUGUGAAAAAUAGAGUGGUGACAGUUGGUUUGUAUAGAUGAACUAGGCAUGGCAUAGCAUGCAAGGGCGGAUUCAGGAAAUUUUUCCAGUCGAACAAUAUUAUUAAAGGUAAAACAAAUAAUGGGUAAUGUCACUUAUUCAGGGCCUCGAGGGGACACAUUAUUAUAUUAUUCUUUUCUGAAACAAUAAAUGAAGAGGUAGAAGAUGAAUAUUACAAAAAAUUAUACGAUUAUUACCUGCUCUAAUUGACAUCCAUGGCUUCACUGCUUCAAUUUCAUCGAUUUCAUUAAUUUGCGACCUUAUUGUUUUGGUGGAAAUUGGGGUUUCAUUCAAAUGUUUUAGGUUUCGGUGGGGACGUGCGUGAGGUUUAGUGGGGGAGUUGGAAUGGAUUAUGGAAGGGUUAGUACUCUGUAGAUCAACGGCAUCCACCUAUUUUAUAAUAUUUCGGCCAAUUACUUGGGCCAUUUUUGCAUUUUUUAAGUGGG